GGACAUGUGGCCGAGUGGUUAUGGCGGUAGACUCAAGCUCUUGCUUGGUAGAUGAAAAACAUCUGCGCGUAUUUUCUACUGGAGAGAUCCGCAUGGGUUCGAAUCCCAUCGUGUUCA
rfam:Glarea lozoyensis 74030 unplaced genomic scaffold M7I_scaffold46, whole genome shotgun sequence.